UACGAAGGGUGCAAGCGUUACUCGGAAUUACUGGGCGUAAAGCGUGCGUAGGUGGUGAGUUAAGUCUGUCGUGAAAGCCCCGGGCUCAACCUGGGAAUGGCGAUGGAUACUGGCUCGCUAGAGUGCGGUAGAGGAGAGUGGAAUUCCCGGUGUAGCAGUGAAAUGCGUAGAGAUCGGGAGGAACAUCAGUUGCGAAGGCGGCUCUCUGGACCAGCACUGACACUGAGGCACGAAAGCGUGGGGGAGCAAAACAGGG
rnacentral:rRNA from 1 species